UCCGAUUUGAAUAUCGGCAGUCUCGUUAGAGUGCCCGACUUUACGCUGGCAACUAACGACAAGGGUUGCGCUCGUUGCGGGACUUAACCCAACAUCUCACGACACGAGCUGACGACAGCCAUGCAGUACCUAACUAUAGGUUCUCCGAAGAGUACCCCGAUCUUUCGACCAGAUUCCUAUACUUUCUAGCCCAGGUAAGGUUCUGCGCGUUGCGUCGAAUUGAACCACAUGCUCCACCGCUUGUGCGGGUUCCCGUCAAUUCCUUUGAGUUUUAGCCUUGCGGCCGUACUCCCCAGGCGGGGUGCUUAAUGCGUUAGCUUCGGCACGGACGGAGUCGACACCGCCCACACCUAGCACCCAUCGUUUACGGCGUGGACUAC
rnacentral:misc_RNA from 1 species